rnacentral:ncRNA from 1 species
UCCACCGCGAGGUGGAAUCUGAAGGAAGCCGGCGGCAAAGUUCUGGUCCGAGGGACACGAACAUCAUAUAAGGCAUAUCUGGUCUGGAUGAACUUACAUUGCAAAGCAAAGUCCUAAAGCUAUACGGAAGGCCAGAAGGUGUAAAUGAUGCGGAUAUAUGGAACGAAGGUGAUAUGU